ACGGGAGGCAGCAGCUAAGAAUAUUCCGCAAUGGACGAAAGUCUGACGGAGCGACGCCGCGUGGAUGAUGAAGGUCGAAAGAUUGUAAAAUCCUUUUAGGAGUGAAGAAUAAGCGGUGCAGGGAAUGGCAUCACGGUGACGGUAGCUCCUGAAUAAGCAACGGCUAAUUACGUGCCAGCAGCCGCGGUAACACGUAAGUUGCGAGCGUUGUUCGGAAUUAUUGGGCGUAAAGGGUAUGUAGGCGGUCGUGCAAGCUUGGUGUGAAAGGCAGGGGCUCAACCCCUGGACUGCAUUGAGAACUGCAAGACUUGAAUUGCUGAAGGGCAGCCGGAAUUCCAGGUGUAGGGGUGAAAUCUGUAGAUAUCUGGAAGAACACCAAUGGCGAAGGCAGGCUGCUGGCAGAUGAUUGACGCUGAGGUACGAAAGUGCGGGGAGCAAACAGGAUUAGAUACCCUGGUA
rnacentral:rRNA from 1 species